UUCCGUAGGUGAACCUGCGGAAGGAUCAUUAGUGAUUGCCUUAAUUGGCUUAUAACUAUAUCCACUUACACCUGUGAACUGUUCUACUACUUGACGCAAGUCGAGUAUUUUUACAAACAAUGUGUAAUGAACGUCGUUUUAUUAUAACAAAAUAAAACUUUCAACAACGGAUCUCUUGGCUCUCGCAUCGAUGAAGAACGCAGCGAAUUGCGAUAAGUAAUGUGAAUUGCAGAAUUCAGUGAAUCAUCGAAUCUUUGAACGCAGCUUGCGCUCUCUGGUAUUCCGGAGAGCAUGCCUGUUUCAGUGUCAUGAAAUCUCAACCACUAGGGUUUCCUAAUGGAUUGGAUUUGGGCGUCUGCGAUCUCUGAUCGCUCGCCUUAAAAGAGUUAGCAAGUUUGACAUUAAUGUCUGGUGUAAUAAGUUUCACUGGGUCCAUUGUGUUGAAGCGUGCUUCUAAUCGUCCGCAAGGACAAUUACUUUGACUCUGGCCUGAAAUCAGGUAGGACUACCCGCUGAACUUAAGCAUAUCAAUAAGCGGAGGAAAAGAAACUAACUAGGAUUCCCUUAGUAACGGCGAGUGAACCGGGAAAAGCUCAAAUUUGUAAUCUGGCUGUCUUCGAUAGUCCGAGUUGUAAUCUAUAGACGUGUUUUCCGUGCUGGACCGUGUACAAGUCUCCUG
rnacentral:rRNA from 1 species